rnacentral:rRNA from 1 species
ACCCUGCAAGUCGAACGGUGAAGCAGAGCUUGCUCUGUGGAUCAGUGGCGAACGGGUGAGUAACACGUGAGCAAUCUGCCCCUGACUCUGGGAUAAGCGCUGGAAACGGCGUCUAAUACCGGAUACGAGCUGCGACCGCAUGGUCAGUAGCUGGAAAGAAUUUCGGUCAGGGAUGAGCUCGCGGCCUAUCAGCUUGUUGGUGAGGUAAUGGCUCACCAAGGCGUCGACGGGUAGCCGGCCUGAGAGGGUGACCGGCCACACUGGGACUGAGACACGGCCCAGACUCCUACGGGAGGCAGCAGUGGGGAAUAUUGCACAAUGGGCGCAAGCCUGAUGCAGCAACGCCGCGUGAGGGAUGACGGCCUUCGGGUUGUAAACCUCUUUUAGCAGGGAAGAAGCGAAAGUGACGGUACCUGCAAGAAAAAGCGCCGGCUAACUACGUGCCAGCAGCCGCGGUAAUACGUAGGGCGCAAGCGUUAUCCGGAAUUAUUGGGCGUAAAGAGCUCGUAGGCGGUCUGUCGCGUCUGCUGUGAAAACCCGAGGCUCAACCUCGGGCCUGCAGUGGGUACGGGCAGACUAGAGUGCGGUAGGGGAGAUUGGAAUUCCUGGUGUAGCGGUGGAAUGCGCAGAUAUCAGGAGGAACACCGAUGGCGAAGGCAGAUCUCUGGGCCGUAACUGACGCUGAGGAGCGAAAGGGUGGGGAGCAAACAGGCUUAGAUACCCUGGUAGUCCACCCCGUAAACGUUGGGAACUAGUUGUGGGGUCCAUUCCACGGAUUCCGUGACGCAGCUAACGCAUUAAGUUCCCCGCCUGGGGAGUACGGCCGCAAGGCUAAAACUCAAAGGAAUUGACGGGGACCCGCACAAGCGGCGGAGCAUGCGGAUUAAUUCGAUGCAACGCGAAGAACCUUACCAAGGCUUGACWUAUAGAGGAAACGUCUGGAAACAGUCGCCCCGCAAGGUCUCUAUACAGGUGGUGCAUGGUUGUCGUCAGCUCGUGUCGUGAGAUGUUGGGUUAAGUCCCGCAACGAGCGCAACCCUCGUUCUAUGUUGCCAGCACGUAAUGGUGGGAACUCAUGGGAUACUGCCGGGGUCAACUCGGAGGAAGGUGGGGAUGACGUCAAAUCAUCAUGCCCCUUAUGUCUUGGGCUUCACGCAUGCUACAAUGGCCGGUACAAAGGGCUGCAAUACCGUGAGGUGGAGCGAAUCCCAAAAAGCCGGUCCCAGUUCGGAUUGAGGUCUGCAACUCGACCUCAUGAAGUCGGAGUCGCUAGUAAUCGCAGAUCAGCAACGCUGCGGUGAAUACGUUCCCGGGUCUUGUACACACCGCCCGUCAAGUCAUGAAAGUCGGUAACACCUGAAGCCGGUGGCCCAACCCUUGUGGAGGGAGCCGUCGAU